rnacentral:rRNA from 1 species
UACGGAGGUGGCAAGCGUUAUCCGGAAUUAUUGGGCGUAAAGAGCGCGCAGGUGGUUGAUUAAGUCUGAUGUGAAAGCCCACGGCUUAACCGUGGAGGGUCAUUGGAAACUGGUCGACUUGAGUGCAGAAGAGGGAAGUGGAAUUCCAUGUGUAGCGGUGAAAUGCGUAGAGAUAUGGAGGAACACCAGUGGCGAAGGCGGCUUCCUGGUCUGUAACUGACACUGAGGCGCGAAAGCGUGGGGAGCAAACAGGAUUAGAUACCCCCGUA